rnacentral:snRNA from 1 species
AUACUUACCUGGCAGGGGAGACACCAUGAUCAAGAAGGCGGUUCACCCAGGGCGAGGCUCGUCCAUUGCACUCCGGCCGUGCUGACCCCUGCGAAUUUCUCCGCUGAGCAGACAAAGUGGCAUCUCGUGUGCCUGUUUUGGAGAGUGGGGUGAAGACCUACUUGAUAAGGACUCCACCCCC